AAUUUUAAGAGUUUGAUCCUGGCUCAGGAUGAACGCUGGCUGUGUGCCUAAUACAUGCAUGUCGAGCGAGGUUCUUUUGAACCUAGCGGCGAAUGGGUGAGUAACACGUGCUUAAUCUACCCUUUAGAUUGGAAUACCCAAUGGAAACAUUGGCUAAUGCCGGAUACGCAUGGAAUCGCAUGAUUCCGUUGUGAAAGGAGCCUUUAAAGCUCCGCUAGAGGAUGAGGGUGCGGAACAUUAGUUAGUUGGUAGGGUAAUGGCCUACCAAGACUAUGAUGUUUAGCCGGGUCGAGAGACUGAACGGCCACAUUGGGACUGAGAUACGGCCCAAACUCCUACGGGAGGCAGCAGUAGGGAAUAUUCCACAAUGAGCGAAAGCUUGAUGGAGCGACACAGCGUGCACGAUGAAGGUCUUCGGAUUGUAAAGUGCUGUUAUAGGGAAAGAACACCUGGUUGAGGAAAUGCUUCCAGGCUGACGGUACCCUGUCAGAAAGCGAUGGCUAACUAUGUGCCAGCAGCCGCGGUAAUACAUAGGUCGCAAGCGUUAUCCGGAAUUAUUGGGCGUAAAGCGUUCGUAGGCUGUUUAUUAAGUCUGGAGUCAAAUCCC
rnacentral:rRNA from 1 species